rnacentral:rRNA from 1 species
UAUUGGGCUAAAGCGUCCGUAGCUGGCCUCGCAAGUCUAUCGGGAAAUCUGCUCGCUUAACGAGCAGGCGUCCGGUGGAAACUGCGUGGCUUGGGACCGGAAGAUCCAGAGGGUACGUCUGGGGUAGGAGUGAAAUCCCGUAAUCCUGGACGGACCGCCGGUGGCGAAAGCGCUCUGGAAAGACGGAUCCGACGGUGAGGGACGAAAGCUCGGGUCACGAACCGGAUUAGAUACCCGGGUAGUCCGAGCUGUAAACGAUGUCUGCUAGGUGUGCCACAGGCUACGAGCCUGUGGUGUGCCGUAGGGAAGCCGUGAAGCAGACCGCCUGGGAAGUACGUCCGCAAGGAUGAAACUUAAAGGAAUUGGCGGGGGAGCACUACAACCGGAGGAGCCUGCGGUUUAAUUGGACUCAACGCCGGACAUCUCACCAGCAUCGACAACGUGCCGUGAAGGUCAGUGUGAUGAGCUUACUGGAGCCGUUGAGAGGAGGUGCAUGGCCGCCGUCAGCUCGUACCGUGAGGCGUCCUGUUAAGUCAGGCAACGAGCGAGACCCGCACUCCUAAUUGCCAGCAACACCCUUGUGGUGGUUGGGUACAUUAGGAGGACUGCCAGUGCCAAACUGGAGGAAGGAACGGGCAACGGUAGGUCAGUAUGCCCCGAAUGUGCUGGGCGACACGCGGGCUACAAUGGCCGAGACAGUGGGAUGCAACCCCGAAAGGGGACGCUAAUCUCCGAAACUCGGUCGUAGUUCGGAUUGAGGGCUGAAACUCGCCCUCAUGAAGCUGGAUUCGGUAGUAAUCGCGCCUCAGAAGGGCGCGGUGAAUACGUCCCUGCUCCUUGCACACACCGCCCGUCAAAGCACCCGAGUGAGGUCCGGAUGAGGCCCUGAUACAGGUCGAAUCGAC